UCGGGUAUGGUGUAGCGGUAACAUCGUUGACUCUCACUUCUUCAGGAGUGACUGCUUUCCUCUCAACAGCCCCGGGUUCGACUCCCGGUAUCCGAG